GAAAAAUAAUACAAGACAACUUCCAUUUAUGAGAGCUGCAUCCUCUUGUAUUUGACACAUUCAUGCAUAUAACUUCAAGUAGCUUUACAGACAUUUGAUCUGCACCCAAAUGUUCAUUCUUCAGCAACAGUAUACUCCAUCAAAAUUGCAGCAGUUCGAUACCCAAGUUAACUGUGGAAUAAAAUCCCCUAGGCAAAUUAGCUUAAAACAUGCCUUAGCUUUAAUCACUUGCAGACCUUUGCUCUAAUAUCCUGCUGCCUACUGUUGACUCAUCAUAAGAUUUUGCUUGUCCCAUCUCAGACAAAAAAGUAUCCACAGCCUAAACAGGUCAGCCAACCUCUGCUACAAUUUCUUUGACAUCUAUAUCAGCUAGAGUCUCCUUGCCAAACAGAGAAAAUCCAACAGUAGCCAAUCCUGCCUUGCUAUCAACCUUCUUGAGAAUCCCUGAAAAUCCAGCAAAGGCUCCGGACACAACUUCAAUAGUUGACCCUGGUAUUAAAGAUUUAUCAUCUGAUCCUCUCAACGCAUCAACUGCAAGCAGGUCUGAAGCUUUUUUAGAUUGCCUUCCUCGUUUUUUGGGCACAGCUUUGUCGUCAAGGGUAGCUAUACUAGAGUUUUUUGUCAGCUUGGAAUCUAAACCUCCUUCUCCUUGUUCCUCUUCUUCAAAAGCUUGAUCAGCUUUCUCUUGCUCUUCCUUCGCUUGUUUGAAUAUGGCCUCCAGGUCAUCCUCAUCAACAGGUCUGGGUUUGUUGAUCUGCCGUUUUGUAUUUCCAACCUUGGAUCCAACAAAGCCUCCAAUUCCAGUACAUUCUCGAAUGAAAUCAUGUAUUUCCUUGUUCAGUACACAUCUCAGAAACACACAUCCUGGGAAAAGGGGUUUUGGCUUAAUUGAAAGUGUUCCAUUUUUUAAUUUCCUUUUGACUUGUACGGAUGGAAUGUAUACCUGAAAAUCAAUAUCAGGAAAGUUCCUAGCAAGAGCACGAGCCAUCCGUUCAGCAGUUUCAUGACCAUUAACUCUAGAAACUCUAACAACCCACCAUUGAGGACCCAAUUUAGCAAGGUUAUCAAGAUUAAGCUCUUCAGUCCAGGACUUGUAUUGCUUCUUAGGUUUCUUAAUAAGCUUUUCCUCUACUUCUUCUCUCCAAUUGUAACCUGUUUUACUCUCUCUUCUCUCAUUUCUCAUUUGCCUUCUCUCUUUAGCUGUUAGCAAAUUCUCUUCAGGUGACUCCACAGUUGCAUAAACCCUUAAAAGGGUUUUUUGGGUUUUCGGUAAAAUGGAGAUUGGUGAUAAUUUGGGAAGAAAUGGAGGACAAUGACUCCAUGAGAGUACAGCUUGC
rnacentral:misc_RNA from 1 species